rnacentral:rRNA from 1 species
CCCUUAGAUGUUCUGGGCCGCACGCGCGCUACACAGACGAUGGCAACGAGUUUUUCCUUCGCCGAAAGGUGUGGGUAAUCUUUUGAAACAUCGUCGUGCUGGGGAUAGAUCAUUGCAAUUUUUGAUCUUGAACGAGGAAUUCCUAGUAAGCGCGAGUCAUCAGCUCGCAUUGAUUACGUCCCUGCCCUUUGUACACACCGCCCGUCGCACCUACCGAUUGAACGUUUUAGUGAGGCAUUUGGACCGACGCAUCUCAGUUUAACCGCUGGUUUGUGUUGGAAAGACUUCCAAACUUGAGCGUUUAGAGGAAGUAAAAGUCGUAACA